rnacentral:rRNA from 1 species
GAUGAACGCUAGCUACAGGCUUAACACAUGCAAGUCGAGGGGCAGCAUGACUUAGCUUGCUAAGUUUGAUGGCGACCGGCGCACGGGUGAGUAACACGUAUCCAACCUUCCGUUUACUCAGGGAUAGCCUUUCGAAACGAAAGAUUAAUACCUGAUAGUAUGGUGAGAUUGCAUGAUAACACCAUUAAAGAUUUAUUGGUAAACGAUGGGGAUGCGUUCCAUUAGGUAGUAGGCGGGGUAACGGCCCACCUAGCCUGCGAUGGAUAGGGGUUCUGAGAGGAAGGUCCCCCCACAUUGGAACUGAGACACGGUCCAAACUCCUACGGGGAGCAGCAGUGAGGAAUAUUGGUCAAUGGGCAGAGCCUGAACCAGCCAAGUAGCGUGAAGGAUGAAGGUCCUAC